ACGUUGGAUAUAUUCUGGCUGAUUCAUGAUUUUCUGUGCCGUUUCCCAGCGCGUGGCAGCACCACUACGAAGCCUUCGGGAUAGGGUAUUUACCCAAAACAUCGAGGGACGCAUUGAAGGAUUCCGUUCUAGCUCAAGACGCUCACGUUCAAUUCGGGCUUCAGCCGCUUGUUUCGCUUUAAAACUAUUAUUGAAACAUGGGAAAAACAGGAUCAGUUGUGCUGAGCGAAAUUAAAUCGUUGUACGUUGAACCAAUCAACAUCACACGGGAUGAUUAUUCAUUAGUGUCCCAGAAAGCUGCAAUGGCCGGAUUUAGUAGCAGUUGAUCAUCAGAUAAAUGUGGCGAAUGACGAGUUAAUAAAGGAAUCUGUGGAGUAGCGACGUUUGAGGUGCUGGAAGAGGCUUCAAGGUGGCUAACCUAUCAUCAAGUUGCUGUUCAGGAGUAGGUGGCGGAAUCUCACUCGGAGAUAGAGGAGUCAUGAUCAAACGUUGGAUAUAUUCUGGCUGAUUCAUGAUUUUCUGUGCCGUUUCCCAGCGCGUGGCAGCACCACUACGAAGCCUUCGGGAUAGGGUAUUUACCCAAAACAUCGAGGGACGCAUUGAAGGAUUCCGUUCUAGCUCAAGACGCUCACGUUCAAUUCGGGCUUCAGCCGCUUGUUUCGCUUUAAAACUAUUAUAUUUAUACACCAUUAAUAAUCCAGGAUGUGUACAGGUAUCAGACGUAGAGCAGAGUUCAAGUUGGAUUAGCCACAGGUGUGGAGAGGUACUCAUAAAGCAACUCGCAGAUCCAGGAUUGUAUUAGCAGAUCAACCUCAAACCAGUGGCCACAGGAAUUGAGAUUGGAGAACCUCAGCAGAUCCAUUUCUAAUCAAGAGACCAGCGCUUGUAUAGGAGCAGUCGUAGGGCAAACAUCAGUUUCUAUGAAUACAUGAUUUAUACACCGUUAAUAAUCCAGCAUGUGUACAGGUAUCAAACGUAGAACAUAAUUCAAGCUGGACUAACCACAGGUGUGAAGAGGUAUUCAUAAAGCAACUCGCAGAUCCAGGCUUGUAUUAGUAGAUCAACCUCACGCUAGUGGCCACAGGAAUUGAGAUUGGAGAACCUCAGCAGGUGGGCAGAUU